CUCCUUCUACUUUCUCUCUAAAAAAUUUUACCUUCUGUCUCUAUAAGUUUCUCUCUCUAAGUGUCUCUUGUUGGAUUAUGUCUCUCCAUUGAGAUUUUCUAGAUCUUAGAAAGAUCCUCUAAUAAUCUUGAUAGAUCCUGGUGCAGGGAUCUUGACUGUUAACUAUCGAAUAAUUUAUCAGUCCUCAUCUUGAUCGGGUCGAGCAUCAUGAGAUUUUAUUGUCAAUUGUAUCUUAGCAUCAUAGCAUGGCUUUUGAUUUUAGUUGAUCGAUUUGAUGCCCUAGAUUAAACUGACUGGACGUCGG
rnacentral:lncRNA from 1 species